GAAGAAUGGCCGAGUGGUUGAUGGCGCUGGUCUUGAAAACCAGAGACGUGAGAGCGUUCGGGGGUUCGAAUCCCU
rnacentral:tRNA from 1 species